rnacentral:tRNA from 1 species
GCGGAAGUAGCUCAGUUGGUAGAGCUCCACCUUCCCAAGGUUGAGGUCGCGAGUUCGAAUCUCGUCUUCCGCU